GCAUUGGUGGUCCAGUGGUAGAGUUGUUGCCUUCUAUGUGAGAGACCCAGGUUCGAUUCCUGGCCAGUACA
rfam:Loxodonta africana unplaced genomic scaffold scaffold_7, whole genome shotgun sequence.